rnacentral:rRNA from 1 species
GACGAACGCUGGCGGCGUGCUUAACACAUGCAAGUCGAACGGUGAAGCGCUUGCCUUUUUGGUGGGUGUGGAUGAGUGGCGAACGGGUGAGUAACACGUGAGUAACCUGCCCUCUUCUUCUGGAUAACCUCAUGAAAGUGGGGCUAAUACGGGGUAUUCCGGGUCUGUCGCAUGGCGGGUUUGGGAAAGAUUGCGCCUUUGGGUGUUUUCGGUGGGGGAUGGGCUCGCGGCCUAUCAGCUUGUUGGUGGGGUGAUGGCCUACCAGGGCGGUGACGGGUAGCCGGCCUGAGAGGGUGGACGGCCACACUGGGACUGAGACACGGCCCAGACUCCUGCGGGAGGCAGCAGUGGGGAAGAUUGCACAAUGGGCGCAAGCCUGAUGCAGCGACGCCGCGUGAGGGAUGGAGGCCUUCGGGUUGUGAACCUCUUUCGCCAGUGAAGCAGGCCUGCUCCUGUGUGGGUGGGUUGACGGUAGCUGGAUAAGAAGCGCCGGCUAACUACGUG